rnacentral:lncRNA from 1 species
AUCCUAAAUAUUAAAUUCUUAAACCAAUAUCUCUUUGAUGAUUAACAAUCAUAUAUAACAUAAAUUCAAGAUUAAAUUUAAAUUAUAGAAGAAUACCUGCAGUGCUUAAUCCAAAUUUUGGCAGAACCUCCACCAGGCACCCAAAUGUUCGCCCUCCAACGGUGAUCUACACAGGACUAUGAUUAAAACACCAACUCUUUG